rnacentral:rRNA from 1 species
AAUCAAGUGCCUUAAGGGUGUUCGGAAGAUACAAUGGCGGAGAGAUGCGAUGAAGGAAAUUCUAAUUUUCGAUAAACCUUGUGGAGACAGGAAGAACAUAUGAUCCGGGGAUUUAUGAACAGGGAAAGCCGCGCUUGAUAGCGGGACCUUCAAGACAGAUGUCGAAAGACAUCGGUGUGGGGUUCGACCAGAUGAUGGAAGAUGGCAAGCCCUUUAGAUCUCGAUGAAAGAGGUUUGGGAGAUCCCAUCAUCAAGAGAAGGUAUGAGACUUAGAAAUCCAUAGGAGGUUUCAAGCAAACCCAGGGAACUGAAACAUCUAAGUACC